rnacentral:lncRNA from 1 species
CCAGCAAUCAGAGUCCCCUGUAGCUGGCACAGAGGCAGAGCCUGCCAUGAUCACACCAACCUGACCACCCUGUCCACUCGAUGGUACACUUCGCUGACCCACUUUGGCCUCCCAAAUUGCUAGGAUUAGAGGCGUGAGCUAUCACGCCUCGCCUGAACGUCCAUAAUCUUAAGUUUCACAUUUGUCUCCUUCCUUCAAGUCCCCUUGACUUAUCUUUGUUAUUUUAUAUUAAAGACAUUGGGAUGGUCAUGAUUUAUUCACACAUCUUGUAUGAUUCUGGGCCAGGUACUUGCUGGAGAUACCAAGAAAAAGAACCAUUCCAAACAGCGUUAUAGCUAGGAUGGGGGAACAAAAUAAACUUAGGAAUUGGCAUCUCAAGAGUCUCUUGGGAGUUCAAGAACUAUUCAUCCAUGCCUACUUUCUCCCAGGUACAGUGCUUGGUGCUGACAAUACAGAAGUGAACAGGCCUGGUGCUCUGUAUCAUAGAGCUAAUAUUCUAGUAAGGAAGACAGAAAAUAAACAAGGAGACAAAGAGAUAAUAUACUGUAAUUGCACAUAGUGAUGAGUGUUAUAAGCGAAGUCAAGCAGAUGAAUGGGACAGAGAGUCACUGGGGAUGGUGCUUUUGAGCUACGGGGGUCCGGUCAGGGAAGGCUGAGACAACAAUGAAGUGAGUCGGGAAAGAAGGAACAGCAAAUGUAAAACCCUGAAGCUGGGCCGGGCACGGUGGCUCAUGCCUGUAAUCCCAGCACUUUGGGAGGCCAAAGUGGGCAGAUCACUUGAGGCCAGGAGUUUGAGACCAGCCUGGUCAACAUGGUGAAACCCCAUAAUUUUGUAAAAAUACAAAAAUUAGCUGGGCAUGGUGGUAGGCAUCUGUAAUCCCAGCUACUUGGGAGGCUGAGGCAUAAGAAUAAGUUGAACUUAGGAGGCGGAGGUUUCAGUGAGCUGAGAUUGCACCACUGUACUUCAGCCUGGGUGACAGAGUGAGACUCUGCCUCAAAAAAAAAUUUUUUUUUCAAAGAAGCCUGAUGUUGGAAGGAGUUCGCUUGGACUACAGAGCUGCAAGGAGGCCGGUGGGUCAGAGCUUAGUGAGCAAAGAUGCUAUUCUGUCCCACCAGCUUUGAGGCCCUGGCAAGAUAAGAUGCCUGAGCCUGCAAAGCAGAAGCUAGACCAUGGGCAGGAGUGAACUCAACAUGCUUAGUGCCACUCUGGAGUCCUGUGGGGCGCACAGCCUGCAUCCCCAGCAGACGUCACUCUGCCUCCAGCUUGAGGAAGGGGCUGCAGAGCUUUCCUCUUCAGCCUUCAGCUUGAGUUGGCAGGUGCACAGUCACAACCUUCAGGGUCCUAGAGCAUUCAUUUUCAGGAAGUAAAUCUUCAGGAUGUACUGAAGCAUCUUCAGGAUAGCAAAUUCGAAGACUCUGACCCACACUGACGGUUUUGUGAUUUACAUGGUCAUAUUCAAGAAACAGAGCGAGGCCAAUCAGAUAUCCAUAUGGAAAAAUAUGAGGUUUGACUUCUAACACCACACAUAAAAAUUAAUCCCAGAAAGAUCAUAAACCUAAUUGUGAAAGAUAAAUCACUAAAGCUUCUAGAAGAUAAUAUAGGCAAAUACCUUCAGAUCCUUGGGGGGAGAUGAGUAUCUCUUAAAUGGGACAAAAACCAAGCAAACCAUAAACAAAAAGACUGAUAAACUGCACAUCAUUAAAAGAACCUCUGUUCAAUAAAAAUACCAUUAGGAGGUUUAAAAGUCAAGCCCUAUAGACUAGAAAAAGAUACUUGAUAAAUAUAGUUUUUGUCCAAUGAAAGACUUAUAUCUGUAAUAUAUAAAGAGUUCCUACAAAUCAACACAUACACAUACAACUCAAUUUAAGACCAGAAUGACAACUUGGACAGACAUUCUAUAAAAGAGGAUUGACUGGCCAAUAAGCAAAUGAAAAGGUAUCAUCAUUUAGUCAUCAAGGAUAUGAAAAUUAAAACCACUACACAUCUACCAGAGUGGCUAAAAUUAAAAAGAUUGGUAACACCAUUGGCCAGGAUAAAGAGCAACUAGAAUGCUCAUUUGUUGCCAAUAUGAGUAUAAAUUAGCACAAACACUUUAGAAAACUGUUUGGUGGUGGUAUCUAUUAAAGCUAAACAUAAGCCACCCAAGGACCUAGCAAUUCCAUUCCCAGGUAUAUAUACCCACAGAAAUAAGCACCGAGUUUCUCCAAAAGCAUGUAUGAGAAUGUUCACUACAGCUUUCUUCAUAAUAGUCAAAACCUGGAAACAACCCAAAUGUCCAUUAACGGGAGAAUGGAUAAUAGGUUGCGAUAUAUUUUUACAAUGGAAUACUGCAGAACAAUGGAAAAGAAUUAACUACAGCCUCAUGCUAUAUGUACAGCCACACACCACCAUGCCCAGCUAAUUUUUGUAUUUUUUGUACAGAUGGGGUCUCACUUUGUUACCCAGGUUGGUCUCCAACUCCUGGGCUCAAGCAAUCCUCCCUCUUGGUCUCCCAAAGCGCUGGGGUUACAGGUGUGAGCCACCAUGCCCAGCCCCCAAAUAUUUUCAUUUUAACUUGUAAUCCAUAAAAAUGAGAUUUUCUAUUCUUUUAUCAUACUAAGUUAUUGAAAUCCAGCGCUUAUUUCACAUGGCACAUCUCCAUUUGGACUUGCCACAUUUUAAGUGUACAACAGCCACACGUGGCUUGUAGCUGCCAUAUUGGACAGCACGGCUCUAAAACCUGGGUCAUGUUGCAAAGUGAGUAUGUUCAAGGCCUAGUAUUUUCUAAAAAUAUUAAUUUAAUAGGCUGAGUGCACCAGCUCAUGCCUGUAAUCCCAGCACUUCAGGAGGCCCAGGCAAGAAGAUCGAGACCAGCCUGGCCAACAUGGUGAAACCCCAUCUCUACUAAAAAUACAAAACUUAGCCAGACAUGGAGGUGGGCACCUGUAAUCCCAGCUACUCAGGAGGCUGAGGCAGGAGAAUUGCUUGAACCCAGGAGGCGAAGGUGGCAGUGAGCAGAGAUUGUGCCACUGCAUUCCAGCCUGGGCAACAGAGCAAGACUCCAUCUGAAAAAAAUACCAAAAACCAAAAAUCAAAAAAUAUUAAUUUAAUAAUAACAAGUACUAAGGAGGAAAUGAAGGUUCAGAGAGCUGAAGUGACUUGCCCAAGGCCUUAUGCUGGUGAGUGGUAGUGGUUAAAGAGCUGAGACUGCGGUCAGACUGAGAACGACCUUCACAAAGUGACGUGAAAAUGACAGGAGAUACACACGGGAAGUGAUCAGCACAGUGCCGGGCUUAUAUCUAUAGCUCACAUGCCAAGAAACAGCCGGGCUUAUAUCUACAGCUCACAUGCCAAGAAACAUGAGCCCCAUCAUCAUGAUGCUAUUAACACUAUCACUAUGCAGGGAGAGGAAGGCUAACAGGGAGAAGGCAGAGACCACUCAGGGUCACUAGCUGGGGAAACCCUGUGUCAGCUGACAUUUCCCAAGACCGCCCCCUGAACGGCUUGCACCACUCACCGGACUGGUGGGUGAGGAAACUACCAGCUUCAGACCAGCUCCGUCAUGAGCCUGGGCCUUCUGCAGGCCAUUCCCUUGGCCCACUUCUCUGGCUGUCUCGCUGACAGUACUAGAAGGCUGCUGGCCUGAGGUGCUCUCUACAGGCUGCUGUAAGUCCAGGGGGCUGGGCGCCUGGGGAUGCGGCUCCUGCACGUGGACACCAUCUUGAGUUCCAGAGGCUGCCUGGGCAGGAAGGGGCUCUGCAGGUGCCUCACAGUGCAGGUGUGUGCUGGUGUUGAGGCCAUGGAGGGAGAGUUAGGCCUGUGGUGUGGGGAUCUCCGUUUCUUGGCUCAGUCCGUUGGUUGGCACAGUUUACCUGGGCUUUGCUGAAUUCCAACAAUACCUGGCAUUCUGAGCAGGCUAGCUGUGGGCCUGGAGAGCUUGCUCAGCCAAACACAUGGUUGUGUGGGCAAUCGUUUCCCCAAACAUGGUAUGCAGCAGAGCCUCCUCCUCCACAGCACAGGGAGUAGAGAUGCCAGGACUCUGUGCCCUGGGGCAGGGACUAGGAGAAGCGAGGGCUAGGCAGGUUUCCUAAGCGAGGUCAUACUUUGUUCCUGUGCAGGCACUGGGACAGCAAGGGGAGGUGCAAGGGCUGGUCCCCUCAGAGCUGGACUGGAGGUGGAGACAGAGAAGCUUCACAUCCCCAGAAACUGCUGCUGGAGCUCAAUGUAUACCAGGUGUGUGAGGGUGGAUAUGAGUACACACGAGAUGUGCCCCUGCUCAGUCUCCAUGGUGGGACUGCCACUCCCUGUCUCCUCCGUGCUGCUUCCUGGGGCCACAGGGAGCAAAUGUUACUGCCUUGGUACACGUGCGUGUACACCACACUCACACAUACACACUGCACAGAAACAUGCCCUGGGCCCUCUGGAAUGUGCACUGACUAGCAACUGCUCCUCCCUCUCCUGAGGCUUCUUCUGAGGAUCCAAGCUCCAUUUUGAAAAUAAACCCGUUUGCUCUCUCUUCUGCUUAUAAAACCAGUGGAGCAUGUCAUGGGCAAAGCCUGGUUCAGGUGGCCACAGGCUGUCUAAGGCCCCAAAGCCUCCCUGCAUCUGCCCUGAUGGCUUGGACUGGGUCCAGAAGAUACAUGAAGCUCUGCUUAAUUUGGGCUUAUGGAAAUGAGGAUUUUAGAAUUCAAGUUGCUUACCUGAUUGUCUUUCCAGUGAGCUCUGCACCAUCUUAACCCCAAACAACAUUUCAAGACAUUAUCGUCAAGAAUAGGUGGCCAAUCCAUACAUGUAUAAGUAACUGAUUUUGGCCGGGUGUGGUGGCUUACAUCUGCAAUCCCAGCACUUUGGGAGGCUGAGGUGGGUAGUAGAACCACAAGAUCAGGAGUUCAAGACUAGCAUGGCCAAGAUGGUAAAACCCCGUCUCUACUAAAAAUACAAAAAUUAGCCAGGCUUGGUGGCAGGCGCCUGUAAUCCCAGCUACUCGGGAGGCUGAGGCAGAGAAUUGCUUAAACCUGGGAGGUGGAGGUUGCAGUGAGCCGGGACUGUGCCACUGCAAUCCAGCCUGGGUGAAAGAGCGAGACUCCAUCUCAAAAAAAAAAAAGUAACUGAUUUUCAACAUAGACACCAACACAUUUUAAUGGGGAGGGAAUAGUCUUUUCAACAAUUGUGCUGAGAUAAGUGGAUAAUCACAUGCAAAAGAAAAAAGCUGGACUGCUAUCUCACAUUGUAUACAAAAAUUAACUCAAAGUGGAUUAAAGACCUAAAGGUAAGAGCUAAAACUGUAAAACUCUUAGAAGGAAAGAGAGGUAUAAACUUCAUGUCUUUGGAUUAGGCAACGGUUUCUUAGAUGUGAGAUCUACAGCAUAAGAAAGCAAUAAAAAAUAAAUUGUAAUCCCAGCACUUUGGAGGCCAAGGCGGGUGGAUCACCUGAGGCCAGGAGUUCGAGAUCAGCCUGGCCAACAUAGUGAAACCCUGU